rnacentral:tRNA from 1 species
UUUAGGGAGACCAUCUGAAUCUUGACCGAACCUAAACAAUAGGUCAAGAAGCAGUUAUCCCUGGUCGUUCGAGAUCAUCAUGUCAAAGCUUUCAAACUAUUAACAGGUUCAGUAAACGGGCUAUUAGCUCAGUUGGUUAGAGCGCACCCCUGAUAAGGGUGAGGUCCCUGGUUCAAAUCCAGGAUGGCCCACCUGAACGUUAAAAAUGUGUAAUUAAAGACAAGUGGUGUUUAAUUAUCAGUUUUUAAUCAUAAGUGUGGGGGUAUAGCUCAGUUGGUAGAGCGCCUGCCUUGCACGCAGGAAGUCAGCGGUUCGAGCCCGCUUACCUCCACUCUCACUUCGUGCACCAACGCCUCAAACAGAAAACAGAAAUCAGCACCUCGGUCGGCGUCAAAGCUCAUCAGAAUGCUGGAGUCUCGACUCUAGUCAGAACCUUGAAAACUGCAUAGAAAUUAAGUCAUCAUCAAGCAGGUAAGUCAACCGAGGCAUCGGAACAUCUUACUUCAGACGACCAUCAAAAACAAU